rnacentral:rRNA from 1 species
CCUACGGGAGGCAGCAGUGAGGAAUAUUGGUCAAUGGGCGCGAGCCUGAACCAGCCAAGUCGCGUGAGGGAUGACGGCCCUACGGGUUGUAAACCUCUUUUGCCGGGGAGCAACGGGCGUCACGUGUGGCGCCACUGAGAGUACCCGGAGAAAAAGCAUCGGCUAAUUCCGUGCCAGCAGCCGCGGUAAUACGGAGGAUGCUCGCGUUAUCCGGAUUUAUUGGGUUUAAAGGGUGCGUAGGCGGGGCGUUAAGUUAGUGGUCAAAUUGAGGGGCUCAACCCCUUCCCGCCAUUGAAACUGGCGAUCUUGAGUGGAAGAGAAGUAUGCGGAAUGCGUGGUGUAGCGGUGAAAUGCAUAGAUAUCACGCAGAACCCCGAUUGCGAAGGCAGCAUGCCGGCUUCCGACUGACGCUGAAGCACGAAAGCGUGGGGAUCGAACAGGAUUAGAUACCCCUGUAGUC